GACGAACACUGGCGGCGUGCCUAAUACAUGCAAGUCGAACGAACCGCGACUAGGUGCUUGCACUUGGUCAAGGUGAGUGGCGAACGGGUGAGUAACACGUGGGUAACCUACCUCAUAGUGGGGGAUAACAGUCGGAAACGACUGCUAAUACCGCAUAGGACAUAGGAUCACAUGAUCCAGUGAGGAAAGGUGGCGCAAGCUAUCGCUAAGAGAUGGACCCGCGGUGCAUUAGCUAGUUGGUAGGGUAAAGGCCUACCAAGGCGAUGAUGCAUAGCCGACCUGAGAGGGUGAUCGGCCACAUUGGGACUGAGACACGGCCCAAACUCCUACGGGAGGCAGCAGUAGGGAAUCUUCCGCAAUGGACGCAAGUCUGACGGAGCAACGCCGCGUGAGUGAAGAAGGUCUUCGGAUCGUAAAGCUCUGUUGUUAGAGAAGAACAGCGCAUAGAGUAACUGUUAUGCGUGUGACGGUAUCUAACCAGAAAGCCACGGCUAACUACGUG
rnacentral:rRNA from 1 species